GCGCCACCAACGAAGGUGGCGGCGAGGGCUUUCCGCGGGCAUGCCGACCCCCCCCCCCCCCCCCCCCCCCCCGCGCAGCCGCCUCAAGCUCGCCCCCAACUCCGGCGGCACCAACCCUGCUCCUCCACCCGUCGGCCCGGAUGCACUGCUCCCGACCUGUUCCGGCACGCAUCGCCCUCCCCACCCUCGGCCAGACCGCCUUGGGGCGCUUCCCCAGCCCGAGCCGGCCUCAACACCCAGAUCCGCGAGACUCCGGUGUGCCCCGCGCGGGAUCCGGAUGCGGAGAGCCCCUGCUCCGCGGCGUGCGGCCUGACAAGCCCCGCCAUUGGAUGCCCUGCGACUCGCCGGAUCCGGCGUCCGACGGCCCCCUGCUCGCCGGUGCCUGCUGCAGCUCCGGCACGCGUGCAGCUCGAUAGGCGCCUCCAUGGUGCUGGCGACCUCCUCCUUCUGCUCCAACCUCCUCCUGCGGCGAGGGCUUAGGUAACGAUGCUGGAAGGAUUUCUGGACGAUGCGUAUUUGGGGCUAGUUCUUGAGGAGGGUUGCUUCAGGAGAAAUCCUUGUUAUGACCUUGGGUCUAUGCCGACCAUGGCGGCAAUCACCUGCGUCGUAAACCUCCUCGGAGGCAUGGUCGUGGAGCUCUGCAUCCUUGAACUUUCCUCUUGUCAUGUCUCUCAGGGUGAAAACCCUAGAUCUGGUUUUCUAGAUCGGGCGACAACAACUGCCUUGGUGUUGUUCUCCUUGUUGAAGGUGUCGCUUUAGAGUUUCAUGCUCCGCGUUGGCCUCCUACCAUCACAGCAGCUAUCCGUUUGAGGUUCUUGGAGGAAACCAGGCAAUGACACCAUGUGGUGUCACAAGGAUGCCAUAUCUUCUGUCGUUGUGUUUGUGUUGCUGCUAGAGUCAAUUCCCCGAUAGCUUCCGGUCAGGCACCUUUGGGAUGAGGCUACCCUUUUGCAGUAGUUGAUGCUUGCAUGUAAGUUUCGUGUUCUUGGUGAAGUCUCGGCUGCCCAUCGCUCUUCGUUGGCACAGUCUUCAUACUGCGCUUCGCACAGUUCUCGGGAUCGUGAUGGCUCUUGAGCUCGUAGUCAAGGUUUGUGUUUGUGGUCUAGACUCGGUGUCGCAACGCUCUUCGAUAGUCUUUGUGGACCAGCUCGCAGUGAUGGCAUCUACAGUCGGCGAGGAUGAUGUCUGCAGUGUUGUCUCGGUGUGUGACACCCUUCGAUUAGAUUCACUGGGUAGCAACACUCGUUGACUUCGAUUAGAUUCACUGGGUAGCAACACUCGUUGACUUACUGGUGCUCAGAUCCACUCGGUCGCCGACAAAGCGGGUGGUGAUUGUGCAAUUGGUAUUUACUCGGCGGUGGUUUGGCCUUCGACGACGUCGGAGGCACUCCUCUCGUGCAUGUCGGAGACUUCGGUGGUAGUCCUUAGUCCUGUUGCGUUUGACCAGGUAGUUUCUAUGAGCUUUUGAUUGUAAUGCAAUUAGCAAAAGGUAGCCGGCUUGUGACGUGUCUAUCUUUCCCCCCUCUUGUAAUACUCUGGUGGUUCUGGAAUUUGUAUGGAACAAGAUAAAUCAAUGAGAUGCAAGUGAGAAAAUAAAUAAAAUAAAAUAUGGAAAAGCUACAUCGAUACCUUACAUCUACGCUAGCGAUUUAGUUCAACAGCCCUUUCAUCAAAAAUUAUACUCCAAUCUUCGGUCAGAAACACAAAAUAUCAUUCAUGAGCAGUUUAUGUUGUCUAUGUCUUGUCUUGUACUGAUUUCCAGAGUCUAAGAAUCUUCAGUGUCAUGAUCAAGACAGUUAACAUCAAUUAGAAAUAAUGAAUUUGAGAGGUAAAACUUGAGAACUAUGAAGCAUCUGUUGUCUAUGUCUUCAUUGUCUUGUACUGAUUAUCCAGAGCAAGAAUCUUCGCCCUUCGGUGUCAUGAUCAAGACAGUUAAUAUCAAUUAGAAAUAAUGAACUUGAGAGGUAAAAUUUCCUCGUACUUCCAUGAUCAAGAAUGAGUUGGUUCAAUGAAGUAAAUCCAGGAGCCACAAUAGGUAGAAUGGAAUUAUUGGGCUGAGAAAUUAGCCAGUAUAUAUGUGUCCCUUCCAUGCAUUAGAAUCCAGAAUGAAUCUCUACUUCUCUACUAUACUUAUAAAGGCACCAACAUGUUCUUUCCUAAACCCACCCCACAAAAUGUACACCGACCCUUCUCACCUCACAAUUAACAAAUAAUUAGGCCCCCUAAACAGCUCUUUAUCAACUAACGUUUAGCCUGCUAAUUUUUUUAGAGUGAAAUACACCAUUAGUCCAUGAACUCGACGGAAAUGCACACUUUAGUCCACGAACUCGAGAAUCGCACACAUAACACCCUAAACUCGGAUUAUUGUAACAAUUUAGUCCAAAAACGUUUCGGAGGGGCUAAAACUGGCCAUGUGGCCGCCACGUCGGAUUAGGCCUGUACCGCUGCUUGUUACUUGUAUUUCUCGGGAGGGGGGGGGGGGUUUGCACAAAACUUCCUGGGGGCCUGAAAUCCACCCUGAAAUCCCCAAAUCAACGGCAGAAUCCCAAAUCCCUAACCCUAUACUAUGCCCGUGGCCAUCAUCCUCAUCGUUGUGGCCUUCGAUUAGCCGUUGUGGCCUUCCUCUCUCGCUCCAGCCGGCCGCUGCGCCCUUCCCCUCUCCGUUUGCAUGGCUGGAGGCUCAUCGAGGUGUUCGCCGAUGGCGAGGACGAAGCCGCAUCUCCCGCUGGUGAAAUGCGGCAGCUAUGGUUGGAGGCUGUUGAAGGUGUACACGUCGACGAUGAUUGAAUAUCCAAACAUGGAUUUCUACAAGUGUAGCAAUCAUAAGGUGGGUGAUAUGCCUUGUGAUUUCUAGUAGUGGGAGGCAAAAUACAUGGGAUAUUUGAAGUCUCUUGGGGUUUCAACUAGUUUUUUGUACCCCGGAGAUGAUGGUUUCAUGGGGCAGCGCAAGAAGAUAGGGAGAAGAUGAGUUUGGAGUCACAUGGCGGCCACGUGGCCAGUUUUAGUCCCUCCGAAAUGUUUCUGGACUAAGCUGUUACAGUAAUCUGAGUUUAGGGUAUUAUGUGUGCGAUCCUCCUGUUCGUGGACUAAAGUGUGCAUUUCCGUCGAA